rnacentral:rRNA from 1 species
CGCGUGCACUGGAUCCGGCCGGGCCUUUCCUCCCGGGGAACCGCAUGCCCUUCACUGGGCGUGUCGAGGAACCGGGACGUUUACUUUGAAAAAAUUAGAGUGUUCAAAGCAGGCCUUCGCUCGGAUACAUUAGCAUGGAAUAAUAGAAUAGGACGUUGCGGUUCUAUUUUGUUGGUUUCUCGAACCGCCGUAAUGAUUAAUAGGGACAGUCGGGGAGACUGGUAUUCAAUUGUCAGAGGUGAAAUUCUUGGAUUUAUUGAAGACCAACUACUGCGAAAGCAUUUCUCAAGGAUGUUUUCAUUAAUCAGUGAACGAAAGUUAGGGGGAUCGAAGACGAUCAGAUACCGUCGUAGUCUUAACCAUAAACCGUGCCAACUAGGAAUCGGACGAUGUUAUUUUCUUGACUCGUUCGGCGCCUUACGAGAAAUCAAAGUUUUUGGGUUCUGGUAAGUCACCUUUUUUUCCACCAUCUCACGGGCGCAUUGCUAACUAACAUCCUAGGGGGGGAGUAUGGUCGCAAGGCUGAAACUUAAAGAAAUUGACGGAAGGGCACCACCAGGCGUGGAGCCUGCCGGCUUAAUUUGACUCAACACGGGGAAACUCACCAGGUCCAGACACAAGUAGGAUUGACAGAUUGAGAGCUCUUUCUUGAUUUUGUGGGUGGUGGUGCAUGGCCGUUCUUAGUUCGUGGAGUGAUUUGUCUGCUUGAUUGCGAUAACGAACGAGACCUUACCCUGCUAAAUAGCCCCGCCCGCUUUGGCGGGCGCGCUGGCUUCUUAGAGGGACUAUCGG